rfam:Chlamydiae bacterium RIFCSPLOWO2_01_FTLL_28_7 rifcsplowo2_01_scaffold_94728, whole genome shotgun sequence.
AAGAGCCGUAUGAGGGAAAUCUUCAAGUACGGUUCUGUGAGGGGUGUUAUGGUUCCUCGCAUUUAUUAAAAUAAAUAUAAA